GGUUGAGUGGCUGAAGCAGUUCCAGGGGGAUUCAUGGUAAACCGUCCACAUCCGUAAUCGUUCCCAGGAGCUGCUGAUUGCUACAGCUGCCACGUCCUCAUUAUAAAUAGAAGCGCGAGGUGGCU